UCAAAAUUAAUGGGAGAGAUUAAAUGUCCAGCAAACGACGGCACUGUUGCGAGAUUCCUUUUAGCGGGAAUUUUAAAAUUUGGUUUUAAAUUUGACAGUUCUGUUCUCUCAACUCAAAAAUCUUAACCUUACUUUUACAAGUGGUUAGGAUUAUUAUUCACAUGUAAAUAUUGAAACAAAUAAUAUUGUACUGUUUCAUAAUUUAAAACUGAUUAUGUUACAGUCUUUUCCAGUUGAUAAAAUUGCAAAUCAAAAACUUUUAGAUUUUACUGUGUGGAUGGCACAGGAAGAAAACAAGAGUACUUACAAGAACAUGAAACAUCUUAUUAUGAAUGUAUGCAAUCCUCAAAAAAUUAUUCUACAAAACACGAUCGAGAAAGAGCUUUAAAAUCCCAAGAAUCCUGCAAAAUGUUUAUUUCCUGUACUAGUCGAAGAAUAAUAGUAUCUAAAAACAUUGAAACUGAUUGUUGUGGAGUAACAUAUUUUAAAACACAUUAUGAGAUGAGGAUGAUAUAGAGUACUUAUAUAUACCAAAAUCAGAUAAAUAUCUCUUCAAAGUUUAUUUUGAGAGUUUUUUCAAAAAUUGCACUUCAGACUGUUCAGGACAGCAUAGGAGGUGAAUUAAAAAUAAUUGAUUUAUUUACAAGAAAAGACGUCACAAACAUUAAACACCCUUGUGGCAAUGAUAUGAAAGAUGGAUAUAGGUACAAACAUGACGCAACCAGUGUUCAUUUUUGGGUCAAAUGCUUACAGACUACGUCAUGUCCAAUAUUAUUUUACAAACAACAGGGCAUACUAAUGGAUAUUCAUCCUGAAUUUAACAUUAUGAUUUUUGUCUUAUUUUCAUGAAUGCUGUGCCAAAAUGAAAUGUUAAUUAAGUUUGGUAAAUCUUUUAUCGCAAUAGAUGGAAAUCAUGAACUCAUUUCUUAUGACUUUGAACUUACGACAGUAUUAGUAAAAAAUGAAUUUAGGAAUGGAUUUCGUAAUGCUUUCUUAUUUUCAAAUAGAAAAGAUACCUACUUUUAUUUACCAAGUUUUUUUUUAAAUACAUGUGUGUGAUGGCAUUAUAUGUACAGUUGAGUGUUUUCAUAUCAGACAUAACUGACACCUUUUACAAUGCCUGCUCAAAUGUAACGGGUUCUGUUCCUAAUAGACUGUUUUAAGUGCCUGGCACAUAGAUAGGACAUGUCAAGUAAAUCUUAAUAAAAUAUCUGAUUCUGAAAAAAAUCUUAUGUAUACAGAUGUAUUAAUGAUGUUUUAGAGAGUAUUAAUAAUAGCUUUUUGGGUAGAAUUCUAAGUGAUGCAGGUACAUACAAUUUUAGUAAGUAUUUCCAGUAGAACUACUGCAAUAACAUCCAACAAUCUAUUGUUAUAGGAAAGGUUGUGGAAUUAAUACCAAUAUCAUAAAAUGUCCAUAAAAUUUUGGACAAAAAAGUAUCCAUCAGUUGUUAUCAGUUAAGCUUAAAACUUGGCACACAUGGAGAGCUAUACUAUAAUACAGGGUGUAACAAAAA